rnacentral:rRNA from 1 species
UACGUAGGGGGCAAGCGUUGUCCGGAAUCAUUGGGCGUAAAGCGCACGUAGGCGGCUUUCUAAGUCGGGGGUGAAAUCCUGGAGCUCAACUCCAGAACUGCCUUUGAUACUGAGAGACUUGAGUCCGGGAGAGGUGAGUGGAACUGCGAGUGUAGAGGUGAAAUUCGUAGAUAUUCGCAAGAACACCAAUGGCGGAGGACGCGAGCUCUCUGGGACCGGUACUGACGCUGAGACGCGAAAGCGUGGGGAGCGAACAGG